CCCUCUUCCAUGACUGGUUCUCCUGAGCAGUGGCAGGAAAAUCCUGGAACUGGAAGAAGCUGGAGCCGCUUCCAGGAUGGGUGACCAGGGCCACCCCAGUGUCCCUGGCCAGUCCCCACCUCCAGGUGCCGGGAUGCAGCCAGCACUUGCCUACAUCUCAGCCAGGGCCUCCGGAAGUUGCAGAGGCUGACCUUGAACUCGCGCCCUUCUGUUCCAGCCUCCUGAGCCACUGGGAAGUGUGCACUUUCUUUUUUUUUUUUUUUUUUUUUAACAUUUAUUUAUUUAUUUUUUUCUUAGUUCUUGGCGGACACAACAUCUUUGUUGGUAUGUGGUGCUGCUGAGGAUCGAACCCGGGCCGCACGCAUGCUAGGCGAGCGCGCUACCGCUUGAGCCACAUCCCCAGCCCCGAAGUGUGCACUUUCAAUGGGUAAGUGUUACGUGUGAAUUUUAUCUCAGUAAGGCCUAGCUGGGCGCGUGGUGCCCGGUUCAUCCCAGCGGCUCUCAAGAUACGACAUGAAGGAUGGGGCGCAGCUCAGGGUAGGGCGGCUCUGCUUCAGUCCCCAGCGCCACAAACAUUAAGAAAAAGAAAACCUGCAGGGGCUCCCCACUGUCCUGGGGCUCAGCCUCCCCAACGCCUGGGCACACCGCCACUGCUCUCCCCCUGCGGGUCUGCAGGCGCCAGUUUCUUCCUCUUUUCACGCCUGCC
rnacentral:lncRNA from 1 species